AUGGGUGUGUUGCUCCGGCGCUGUUCCGGUGAUCCGAACGACGCCUUCGCGCGCGGGACGGGUGGGUUCCAGCGCGGCCGCGUGGUGCACGGCAUGCUCGUCGCCUCCCUCUUCCCCGCCCUCAUCACCUCCCACGCCCCUGGUGCCAUGUACGCGAGCCAGUCCCUCAAGUUCGCGGCGCCCGUGCACGUCAGAGACGAGGUGGUCGCGCAGGUGCAGGCGCUGCACAUCAAGGCAACCGGCGCAAGGCACAUACUCGCGGUGAAGAAGAGAAAGCCGAGAAGGACUCCAACAAGCUUAGGUGCCCCUGAGUGCCUUCUUAGUCUUCAUGGACAGCUUCAGGAAGGACUCCAACAUCAAGCAGGUCUCCAUGGUUGGCAAGGCCGGUGGUGA
rnacentral:rRNA from 1 species